UCCACUCUAUCGCACCAUGGAUUCUCUGAUUGCCUUUUGCAGCCUUUUGAAGAGCUUGAGCACUGCAGUGAGGGCGAGUGAGAGAGAGAGAGAGUGAGAGAGACAGAGAGAGCGGCCGCUUAGGAGGGGGGAGAUGCAUUCCAGGAACAGGCGCGGUGGCGGAGAUAGCUGGGCUUCGAUGGGAUUGAGGGCGGCGCUCACCUCCGCCGGAGUGGUGACGGUGGCCGUGGCUCUCCGCCUCGCUGGCCUGCCAAUCCUCUGGUUCCUAGCUGCAGAGGUCCCCCGGGUAUACGAUUCCGCUCUCGACUGGAUCCGCCCUCCCUACCUCUACCUCGUCAUCAACGGCAUCAUUAUAUCCAUCGCCGCCUCGUCCCGCUUCCAGAAGAAGACUCCAUCCUCCGAUGAUCCGCCGCAGACGCAGCAGCUCGCCGCGAUGGAUCCUGCGGAUUUGGUGGUUCAGGGGACGGAGUACGGUGCCGAGCUUGCAGACGAUGCGCAGACGCGGGAGUCGAUCUACGAUAAGGUGAAGGAGGAGGCGAAGGAUGAAGUGAUUGAGGAGGAGGAGUUCGUGAUAUCGAGGUCGAACUGGUCGCCGAAACGACGGAAGGCAUUGUUGGAGGACGUUUCGAGGGAGCCUCCUGCCUCCUCGGUGGAGAAACCGCUGGUUUCCACCCGGUUCAGCCACCGCAAGGUCGCCAAGCCCAGUCCUGAAGGGAAGGCGCUCGGAGUGGCGAGGAAGCCGAGGCGGAACGAGACAUUGGAGAGCACCUGGCGGACGAUCACUGAGGGCCGGGCGGUACCGUUCGCCCGUCACCUCAAAAAGUCCGACACAUGGGACACCCGCGGCGAACGGCAGGAGGCAGCAGCGGUGAUGAUGCGGAAGUCGGAGACUUUCAACGAGAGAGCGGCUGCGGCCUCAGCGUCGCCAGGGAGCGGGGGGUCGUCAGCGGGAAGGCUGAGGAGGGAGGCGUCGCUGGGACAUGACGAGCUGAACCGGCGAGUGGAGGCUUUCAUCAAGAAGUUUAACGAUGAGAUGAGACUGCAGCGGCAGGAGUCGCUGAGGCACUACAGGGAGAUGGUCAGCCGCGACAGCCAUUAGAGGAGAAUAAAUUGAGGAGAAGCUUCAACAUGGUCCCUUUUUCCAAGCCCUUCUUCUACAUCUUGUUAGUCUGAAACUUUCAUCGGCGUUAAUGGAGAAGGUAACAAAAUGGGACCCGGGAACUGCAAAAGUGGCAGAGGAUAUCUACCGAUUCCAUUGCCGCCCGAAGCUUCCUGAGGACGAAUGGGUAAAUGACUUCUCUGUUAUCUCAGAACUUCGGAUGGAGCUAGAGCGGACUCGAAGUUAUAUCAAUGAUCUUGAAUCUGAGCAACGGUAUGGAAACGAAAAGCUCAAUCAGUUCAUGAAGAGGCUGGCAGAAGAGAGAUAGUAAUAUGGAGGAGAAGAGAAAAUGAUAAAGCCCGCUCGGUGUUAGAACACAUUAAGGAUGAUCUUAUUAGAGAAAGGAAAAAUAGA